rnacentral:tRNA from 1 species
CACACCGUACGGUCGAGGGCCGGAGCAGACGCUCCGGCCCUUCGCCGUUGUGGGUGCGGGUUCGGGCCGCGG